rnacentral:rRNA from 1 species
AAUGAACGCUGGCGGCAGGCCUAACACAUGCAAGUCGAACGGAUCCUUCGGGAUUAGUGGCGGACGGGUGAGUAACGCGUGGGAACAUACCCUUUGGUACGGAAUAGCCUCGGGAAACUGGGAGUAAUACCGUAUGUGGUCGAGAGACGAAAGAUUUAUCGCCAAAGGAUUGGCCCGCGUUGGAUUAGGUCGUUGGUGGGGUAAUGGCCUACCAAGCCGACGAUCCAUAGCUGGUUUGAGAUGAUGAUCAGCCACACUGGGACUGAGACACGGCACAGACUCCUACGGGAGGCAGCAGUGGGGAAUCUGAGACAAUGGGGGAAACCCUGAUCUAGCCAUGCCGCGUGAUCGAUGAAGGCCUUAGGGUUGUAAAGAUCUUUCAGGUGUGAAGAUAAUGACUGUAACACCAGAAGAAGCCCCGGCUAACUCCGUGCCAGCCGCCGCAGUAA